CGACAUUUGGUUUUUUGGGAUUGGCUAUCUUCACUUAGCAUUAUCUUCUCUAACUCCAUCCAUUUACCUGAAAAUGCCAUGAUUUUAUUCUCUUUUAUUGUUCAGUAAUAUUCCAUUGUGUAUAUAUGCCACAUUUUUUUUAUCCAUUCAUCUAUUGAAGGGCAUCUAGGUUGGUUCCACAGUUUAGGUAUUGUGAAUUAUGCUGCUAUAAACAUUGAUAUGGCUGUGUCCCUGUAGUAUGCUCUUUUUAAGUCCUUUGGGAAUAGACAGAGGAGAGGGAUUGCUUGUUCAAUUUCUUUCUUUAGUGUUCUGUAGUUUUCAUCAUAGAGGUCUUUCACUUCUUUUGUUAAAUUGAUUCCAUUUGUUUGUUUGUUUGUGUGUUUGAGGCUAUUGUGAAUGAAGUACUUUUCCUAAUUUCUCUUUCAGAGGAUUUAUCACUGAUGUAUAGAAAUUCAUUUGAUUUAUGGGUAUUGGUUUUAUAUCCUGCUACUUUGCUGAAUUCAUUUUUUAAUUCUGGAAAUUUUCUGGGGGAACUUUUUGGAUCCUCUAAGUAUAGAAUCAUAUCAUCAGCAAAUAAUGAUAGUUUGAAUUCUUCUUUUCCUAUUUGUAUCCCUUUAAUUUCUUUUGUCUAAUUACUCUGGCUAGAGUUUCAAGGGGUAUGUUGAAUAGAAGAAGUGGUGAAAGAAGGCAUCCCUGUCUUGUUCCAGUUUUUAGAGGGAAUGCUUCCAAUUUUUCUCCAUGUAGAAUGAUGUUGGCCUUGGGUUUAGCAUAGAUAGCUUUUACAAUGUUGAGGUAUGUUCCUACUGUACCUAGUUUUUCUAGUAGUUUGAACAUGAAAGGGUGCUAUAUUUUGUCAAAUGCUUUCUCUGCAUCAAUUGAUAUAAUCAUAUGAUUCUUUUAAGUCUAUUGAUUCGAUGAAUUAUAUUUACUGAUUUUCGUAUGUUGAGCUAAACUUGUAUCCCUGUUUUCAUUUAUUUUGAUCUUUAUCUUUUUCAAUGGUGUUUUGUAGUCUCAGUGUAUGAAUGGAAGCAUUUAUUUUGUUAAAUUUAUUACUAUUUUAUUCUUUUUGAUGCUAUUAUUUUUCUCCCAGG
rnacentral:lncRNA from 1 species